ensembl:antisense Gm13184 predicted gene 13184
CCAACCAUGCUCAGGAAUUCACCUGCUUUUCCUAAACCCUCUUCUGUAUGACUCAUCAAGGUGACCCUUAUCUACCUAUUGACAUAAGCUGAGAAGCAGCUGAGAAUCUGAAAACACAACACUAUAAUGGAGGGUGGUGUUGAAUCGGAGGAUCAACGUACAUAUAUUCGUAUGAAAACGUCAUAACGAAGCGUUACGUGUAAUUACAAUGCACCGCCCCUCGCAACAGAAAUGCUACAUUUUGGGGGCAUCUCGAAAUGUUAAAAAGAAAAAUUGCCAACACUUGGUUUACAAAAUCCCACAGCCAAAAAUGAUGAGAGGAAAACGCCUCAUUGUCUAGAUUAUAACAUCCCGUUUAUAAAAACCAUUCCACCAUCCCAUCCCCACCACGCUUCAAGGAGGCAAGAGCUACCUACGGGAAUAAUAGUGUCACCAUCUGGGUGGAGCGGAGGAAAGAGCUGGAGAACAACCUUUUCAUUCCAGAAGGCUUUGCACAACCCAGACUUUCAAAGGGCGCGCGACUCGAGCGCACGCACGCGCACUGCGUGCCCCGGCUUCAGCAUCCACAGAAAUAACCUGCAAGUUCCAGCCGGGCCCCCCAAAGUUUCCCGGAGCUCAGGGCUGCG